AGCAGCAAAAGACGAAGCAUAAUUGUUGUCGUGUGCAGCCCUUACUAGUAUAUCGCAUCGGUGGAUGAACGUGAUUUAAAAGGCAUCAACGAAACAUUCGGUUCAAUGGUCAUGUUUAGCAAAACCUUGCCUAUUUAAACACCAUGAGCAGAGGACUAUUUCCUGUAUUGGUGGAGGAGAAAACUGAUGCUUCCUCCUAUUGGGAUACAGAUGCAGAGAACCCAAUUUUCAAAAGCUGGAGCUACAGCUGCGGCAAAUUAAAAUGGAAAUUAUGAUGGCAGUGGCCUACUUGUGUUUCACAAACCUUCCACUGAGAUUGAGACCAGCAUGCAAGACCAAAGUCAAAAAACA